rnacentral:rRNA from 1 species
AGGCAGGGCGGCAGGCUUACACAUGCAAGUCGUACCAGUGAGACAACACGGAAUAAGCUUGCUAUUUUGCUGACGAGUGGCGGACGGGUGAGUAAUGCUUGGGAAUAUGCCUUAUGGUGGGGGACAACAGUUGGAAACGACUGCUAAUACCGCAUAACAUCUCCGGAUCAAAGUGGGGGACCUUCGGGCCUCACGCCAUAAGAGUAGCCCAAGUGGGAUUAGCUAGUUGGUAAGGUAAUGGCUUACCAAGGCGACGAUCCCUAGUUGGUCUUAGAGGAUGACCAGCCACACUGGAACUGAGACACGGUCCAGACUCCUACGGGAGGCAGCAGUGGGGAAUAUUGCACAAUGGGCGCAAGCCUGAUGCAGCCAUGCCGCGUGUGUGAAGAAGGCUUUCGGGUUGUAAAGCACUUUCAGCGAGGAGGAAAGGGUAAAUCUUAAUAGGUUUUAUCUGUGACGUUACUCGCAGAAGAAGCACCGGCUAACUCCGUGCCAGCAGCCGCGGUAAUACGGAGGGUGCGAGCGUUAAUCGGAAUUACUGGGCGUAAAGCGCGCGUAGGCGGUUAAUUAAGUCAGAUGUGAAAUCCCAGGGCUCAACCUUGGAACUGCAUUUGAAACUGGUUAACUAGAGUUUUGUAGAGGGUGGUAGAAUUUCAGGUGUAGCGGUGAAAUGCGUAGAGAUCUGAAGGAAUACCAGUGGCGAAGGCGGCCACCUGGACAAAGACUGACGCUGAGGCGCGAAGGCGUGGGGAGCAAACGGGAUUAGAUACCCCGGUAGUCCACGCAGUAAACGAUGUCUAUUAGAAUUUUGUGGCUAUAUGCCGUGGGAUUCAACGCUAACGCAUUAAUAGACCGCCUGGUGAGUACGGCCGCAGGUUUAAGACUCGAGUGAAUUGACGGGGGCCCGCACAAGCGGUGGAGCCUGUGUUUACUUCGAUGCAACGCGAAGAACCGUACCAUCCCCUUGACAUCCAGAGAUUCAGUAGAGAUAAUGAGUGCGUCUGGCAACUCUGAGAACAGUGCUACAUGACUGUCAUCAGCUCUUCUCUCUUCACUGUCGAGAUGAGGUCCGUUACGAACGCGACUCUCUUCCUUCCUCUCCGUC